rnacentral:rRNA from 1 species
UACGUAGGGCGCAAGCGUUGUCCGGAAUUAUUGGGCGUAAAGAGCUCGUAGGCGGCUUGUCACGUCGAUUGUGAAAGCCCGAGGCUUAACCUCGGGUCUGCAGUCGAUACGGGCUAGCUAGAGUGUGGUAGGGGAGAUCGGAAUUCCUGGUGUAGCGGUGAAAUGCGCAGAUAUCAGGAGGAACACCGGUGGCGAAGGCGGGUCUCUGGGCCGAUAUCGACGCUGAGGAGCGAAAGCGUGGGGAGCGAACAGG